GUGUUUUUAGUAUAUGUUAAGUACACCUACCUUCCAAGUAGGAGGAUUAGACCUAAAAAACACA
rnacentral:tRNA from 1 species